rnacentral:rRNA from 1 species
AGCGAACGCUGGCGGCGUGCCUAACACAUGCAAGUCGAACGUGAAUGGGAGCAAUCCCUAGUAAAGUGGCGUACGGGUGAGUAACACGUAGGUAAUCUACCUGUGAGUCUGGAAUAACCUGCCGAAAGGCGGGCUAAUACUAGAUAGAGCGAGGGGUUCGUAAAGGACUUCUCGGGAAAGGGAGCCCGCAAGGGCCUUUGCUUACAGAUGAGCCUGCGUCCCAUCAGCUAGUUGGUAGGGUAACGGCCUACCAAGGCUAUGACGGGUAGCUGGUCUGAGAGGAUGAUCAGCCACACUGGAACUGAAACACGGUCCAGACUCCUACGGGAGGCAGCAGUGGGGAAUCUUGCGCAAUGGACGAAAGUCUGACGCAGCCACGCCGCGUGAGUGAAGAAGGCCUUCGGGUUGUAAAGCUCUGUCGCCCGGGACGAACAUCUUUGGUGUUAACAGCAUCAAGGACUGACGGUACCGGGAGAGGAAGCACCGGCUAACUCUGUG